rnacentral:rRNA from 1 species
UACGAAGGGGGCUAGCGUUGCUCGGAAUUACUGGGCGUAAAGCGCACGUAGGCGGCUUUCUAAGUCGGAGGUGAAAUCCUGGAGCUCAACUCCAGAACUGCCUUCGAUACUGGAGCUUGAGUCCGGGAGAGGUGAGUGGAACUGCGAGUGUAGAGGUGAAAUUCGUAGAUAUUCGCAAGAACACCAGUGGCGAAGGCGGCUCACUGGCCCGGUACUGACGCUGAGGUGCGAAAGCGUGGGGAGCAAACAGGG